UCUUAGUUAUGCUAAUACAAGAAAAAUGCUACCAUUUGUUCGCCUGCUGCCUUUCAGAUCCAUGGGAAUAGUUUUGCAUAUUCUCUUCUGCUAUAACUGUUAUAUUUGUGCUGUUACCGCUUACCAAUAAGACAUUGAGUGAGAAAAUAAUUAGCUUGCAGGGUUGGAUCGCUGUCCAAAAUCAGGUUUAACAGCCUGAUCCAUACGACUGUGAACCUACGCCCUUUACAAGGUUGGCAGAUUCCUAUCUGAAACUACAAUUUUCGCACUAAUUACUUUAAAGAAUACGCAACUAAAUGUAAACCAAAGUUUUGUGUUCCUCCUUCAUAUCAUAUCAUAUUAGCUGUUACCUUUAGCUUUUGAACUCCAUUUUUCAUACCUCCCAUCAUUUUAUCCUAGGUGGCUAAAUUUGUGCAGUGGUUGCAAAUUAGAUUUGCCAUAAUGGUUGGAAAUAUAUUUCUCAUCCAGCCUAAGUAUGGCACAUGCAUUGAUUUUUAGUAGUGAGCAAUGAGUAGUACUGUUUUCAAUAUCAGGAUCAUUUGAUGCUUUUUAACUAAAAAAAGCGGCAAUCAUCUGUGGUACAAUGUCUAAAUGCAUUCAUUUGUAAGCCAAGUGGAGUUUCUGCUAAUUUGACAGGAGUACCAUGAACCCCAAGUUUAGAAAAUGAGUUGUGUCUACUUUGUUGAACAAAAGCAAUGAGAUUAUUUUUGCUGGGACAGCCUCAGGAAUCCUCGCCUGCAUCUUGGUGGCCCGCAUCUUGGGGACCUGUUCCUUGGUGCCAGUGAGGUCAGUCAAUAAGUCUAUGGUUUUGAUCUGUACUUGCAUUGUUGAGAUUAUGCUCUUGAUGUAUCAAAAUGUGUUUUUCCUCUUAACAAAAAAUGUGUAAGCAAUAAUCGCCUCGUGUCUAAUCAUCCAUAGUUUGUGUGAGUUCAAAAGGAAAUAUGUUGUAGUUUAGUUUAGAGCAACAAUUUAGUUGGCAAGUGACAAUGCAACUUGCAGUAUUCUCUAACUCACUGAACUCAUUUCAGUGGAGUUUUUACUUCACUGAUGAUCCCUGAUUUUUUUGUAAUAAAAAUGUUAUCACUGCAUAUUUUCUGCCUCUUUUAUAACUGUAAAUUGGUUCUAUCGUCUAACCAACAAGACUUAUGUCAGUAUAGAACUUCGAUAUUCAGAGUUCGCCUAUUUUGAAUUGUUGCUACCAAGUGAUUGAUUUGCUGUAAUUUUAUGGUUCGCACCUGCCAGGUUUAGGUGCCAGUUUUACUUCACAUGUUAGUCUUUGGGUUUCUGUAGUUACUUUGCAUUAAGACUUCAUCGCAUAAGAAAUAUACUUGCAUAGCUAUCUUUCAUAUUCUUCAACUAAUGGUUACCGUAUUAUACAAGUGGUUGAAUUGUGGGUACACUCAAUGGAAAAUAGUGCCUCUCAUACACCAUUGGGUGACAAGACUAACACUACUAAUAGAGGUAACCAAAAUAGAAGAGGAAUUAUUAUAUAUUAUUCAGUGUAUUGUUUAUAUUAUAUAAAUGAUAAUCAAUAAUAUAUGGAUGUAACAAUGCAGGAAGCGAUGUUGCACAACACAGGAAAGAAAGGGAUAAGGCUCGAUGGCACGCAAUGUCGCAAGAGAAAAAAGACGAAAAAAAUAAAAAACGUCGUGAAGCAUAUAAAAGAAGAAAGGAGCAACAACUAUGGAUCGAAACUACCGAUG
rnacentral:lncRNA from 1 species